CUGAUUACUUAUCUCCUCCAGCCAAAAAAAAAAAAAUGUCAGUACGCUUGCUCGUCGUGUUCGUCUUAUGCCUUCAUUGCCUUCAACUGCAUGCGCAUGGAGGCAUCUCACUGAAGUCUCAACAGACGACACUUCUUCAUUGGAAGUCCACACUACGGAACUUACCGCCACAGAUGAGCUCUUGGCAGGACGAAACCAGCCCAUGCAGCUGGACCGGCAUCAUGUGCAGUGCCGUCCACCACGGCCAUCGCAUGCCGUGGGUCGUGACCAACAUCUCCCUCCCAGAUGCCGGCAUCCAUGGCCAGCUCGGUGAGCUCAACUUCUCGGCUCUCCCAUUCCUCACAUAUAUUGACCUCAGCAACAACAGUCUACAUGGCGCCAUCCCAGCCAACAUCAGUUCUCUCUCAACGCUCUCCCACCUUGACCUCGGGAGCAAUUGGCUUACUGGAAAAAUACCACAUGAGAUUGGUGACCUACAAAGUCUCACCAGCUUGUUCCUCUCCUUUAACAACCUCACAGGCCACAUCCCUACCUCAUUGGGUAACCUAACAAUGUUAAUUAAGCUUGUCAUUCACCAAAACAUGGUCUCAGGUCCCAUCCCAAAGGAGAUAGGAAAGCUUUUCAGCCUGCAGGUUCUACAACUAAGUAACAGUACCUUAAGCGGUGGGAUACCCAGAGCUCUUGGAAAUCUGACCCAGCUAAAUACUUUGUAUCUGUUUGGUAAUGAACUGUAUGGGCCUAUACCCACACAACUAGGCAAGCUCAUUAACCUGCAAAGUCUUGCUCUGAGCAGUAAUAACCUUACUGGUGCAAUCCCUGCCUCUUUAGCCAAUCUCACUAAGAUCACCUCAUUUUAUCUAUAUGAAAAUCAAAUUACAGGUUCUAUUCCUCCAGAACUAGGCAAGCUGGUCAGCUUACAAAUUCUACAUCUCGGCAAAAACAAGCUCACAGGUCCCAUACCCCUAGAACUUGGCAUCCUAUCAAAUCUCCAGAUGAUGAGAUUGUAUACCAACCAAAUCUCUGGUUUUAUUCCUGCUAGCUUAGGAAACCUUAGCAACCUCCAACAUUUGUCUUUGCAAGAGAAUCAACUUUCUGGCUCAAUACCAAAAACUUUUGGCAACCUGCAAAGCAUCCAAGAUCUACAGCUCGGUAACAACACCAUAAGCGGUGAGAUACCCAUAACCCUUGGAAAUCUGACCCAGCUAAAUGCUUUGUAUUUAUAUGGUAAUGAACUGUCCGGGCCAAUACCCAUAGAACUAGGCAAGCUCGCCAGCUUGCAAAUUCUUCAUCUCGGCAAAAACAAGCUCACAGGUCCCAUACCCCUAGAACUUGGAAUCCUAUCAAAUCUCCAGAUUCUGAGAUUGUAUACCAACCAAAUCUCUGGUUUUAUUCCUGCCAGCUUAGGAAACCUUAGCAACCUCCAACAUUUGUCUUUUCAAGAGAAUCAACUUUCUGGCUCAAUACCAAAAACUUUUGGCAACCUGCAAAGCAUCCAAGAUCUACAGCUAGGUAACAACACUAUAAGCGGUGAGAUACCCACAACCCUUGGAAAUCUGACCCAGCUAAAUGCUUUGUAUUUAUAUGGUAAUGAACUGUCCGGGCCAAUACCCAUAGAACUAGGCAAGCUCGUCAGCUUGCAAAUUCUUCAUCUCGGCAAAAACAAGCUCACAGGUCCCAUACCCCUAGAACUUGGAAUCCUAUCAAAUCUCCAGAUUCUGAGAUUGUAUACCAACCAAAUCUCUGGUUUUAUUCCUGCCAACUUAGGAAACCUUAGCAACCUCCAACAUUUGUCUUUGCAAGAGAAUCAACUUUCUGGCUCAAUACCAAAAACUUUUGGCAACCUGCAAAGCAUCCAAGAUCUACAGCUAGGUAACAACACCAUAGGCGGUGAGAUACCCACAACCCUUGGAAAUCUGACCCAGCUAAAUGCUUUGUAUUUAUAUGGUAAUGAACUGUCCGGGCCAAUACCCAUAGAACUAGGCAAGCUCGUCAGCUUGCAAAUUCUUCAUCUCGGCAAAAACAAGCUCACAGGUCCCAUACCCCUAGAACUUGGAAUCCUAUCAGAUCUCCAGAUUCUGAGAUUGUAUACCAACCAAAUCUCUGGUUUUAUUCCUGCCAGCUUAGGAAACCUUAGCAACCUCCAACAUUUGUCUUUGCAAGAGAAUCAACUUUCUGGCUCAAUACCAAAAACUUUUGGCAACCUGCAAAGCAUCCAAGAUCUACAGCUAGGUAACAACACCAUAAGCGGUGAGAUACCCACAACCCUUGGAAAUAUGACCCAACUAAAUGCUUUGUAUUUAUAUGGUAAUGAACUGUCCGGGUCAAUACCCAUAGAACUAGGCAAGCUCAUCUGCUUGCAAAUUCUUCAUCUCGGCAAAAACAAGCUCACAGGUCCCAUACCCCUAGAACUUGGAAUCCUAUCAAAUCUCCAGAUUCUGAGAUUGUAUACCAACCAAAUCUCUGGUUUUAUUCCUGCCAGCUUAGGAAACCUUAGCAACCUCCAACAUUUGUCUUUGCAAGAGAAUCAACUUUCUGGCUCAAUACCAAAAACUUUUGGCAACCUGCAAAACAUCCAAGAUCUGUACAUCCACACUAACCAAUUAUCAGGUCCUCUUCCUCAUGAGUUUGGAAAUCUCACAAGCAUAGUAGUACUUCAGCUAACUAAUAACUCCCUUUCAGGCCCUUUGCCCGCAAAUAUAUGUAUGGGUGGCAAACUCAAAGUUUUCUUGGUUUCUUUGAACAUGUUUGAUGGCUCUAUUCCGAGGAGCUUGAAGGAAUGUACAACCUUGGUUCGACUUUCACUAUAUGGGAACAAGCUAACGGGAGAUAUAUCCAAACAUUUUGGUGUGUAUCCACAACUCGUGACAAUACGAUUAGAAUCAAAUAGGCUCUCUGGGGAAAUCUCACCGAAUUGGGGUGCCUGUCCCCAACUAGAGGUACUACAUUUAUCAGAAAAUUCUAUCAGUGGCAAAAUACCCUCUGCUCUUUCUAAAUUGUCCAACUUGGUUGAACUAAAACUCGAUUCUAAUAAUCUCAGUGGUGAGAUACCUCAUGAAAUUGGCAAUUUAACAAAUCUUUAUAGCCUGAAUUUAUCACUAAAUCAGCUGUCUGGAUCCAUACCACCACAGCUGGGAAAGCUGAGAAAUUUAGGUUACCUUGAUAUAUCUGGUAACAAUUUAAGUGGAUCCAUACCUAACCAAUUGGGAGACUGCAUCAAGCUACAGUCCUUGAGGAUUAACAAUAACAACUUCAAUGGGAAUUUGCCUGGUGCAAUAGGAAAUUUGGCAAGCCUACAGAUCAUGUUAGAUGUUAGCAAUAACAAACUCAAUGGUGUCUUGCCACAACAACUUGGAAUGUUGAAGAUGUUGGAAGUUCUUAAUUUAUCCCACAACCAGUUCAGUGGAAGCAUUCCUCCCUCCUUUGCUAGCAUGCUGAGCCUAUCAAUGCUUGAUGUGUCCUACAACAACUUGGAAGGACCAAUCCCAGAAGGACAUCAAUUUCAAAAUGCUUCAGCUAGCUGGUUUCUCCACAAUAAAGGUCUGUGUGGUAAUCUCUCUGGCUUGCCACCAUGUUAUUCAACUCAAGUAUCUGGUCGCCAUAAAAGAAGGCUACUUGCUUUGCUGCUUCCAAUUGUCCUUGUUGUGGGUUUCACCAUUCUUUCUACAACUGUAAUUAUCAUGAUCCGUGCUCAUAACAAGAGAAAGCCCCAAGAAAGUGUUACUAGCAACGGAAGAGACAUGUUCUCUGUCUGGAGUUUUGAUGGAAGACUUGCAUUUGAGGAUAUCGUCAGGGCAACUGAAAAUUUCGAUGACAAUUACAUCACUGGAACAGGAGGAUAUGGAAAAGUAUACAAAGCACAACUACAGGAUGGACAAAUAGUUGCUGUGAAGAAGCUUCAUCCCACUGAAGAAGAGAUGAAUGAUGAAAGAAGAUUUUCACACGAAAUGGAAAUCUUAUUGCAAAUUCGACAGAGAAGCAUUGUCAAGUUUUAUGGAUUUUGCUCCCAUCCAGAGUACAAGUUUCUUGUAUACGACUACAUAGAGAGGGGAAGCCUUCACAUAACAAUGGAAAACGAGGAGCUAGCUAAAGAAUUGAACUGGGAAAAGAGAUCAACUAUGGUUAAAGAUGUGGCUCAAGCGAUAGCUUAUUUGCACCACGAGUGCAAUCCACCGAUAAUCCAUCGAGAUCUCACAAGCAACAACGUCUUGCUAGAUAGAACUUUCAAGGCUUAUGUCUCGGAUUUUGGUACAGCAAGGAUUUUGAAACCGGAUUCAUCAAACUGGAGUGCGCUAGCAGGCACUUAUGGCUAUAUAGCUCCUGAGCUAUCCUACACAUCUAUUGUCACAGAGAAAUGUGAUGUUUAUAGCUUUGGUGUGGUUGUCCUCGAGGUAGUGAUGGGGAAACAUCCAAGAGAUCUUCUGCAUCACCUCACAUCAUCAAGGGAGCAUUCUAUGGAACUUGAGAAAAUCCUGGAUCAGCGACCAGCGGCACCAACCACAACAGAAGCGAAAGACAUAGCUCUCCUAAUGAAGGUGGCAUUUUCUUGCCUGCAAGCUUCUCCACUAGCAAGGCCAACAAUGCAGGAGGCAUACCAGGCCCUUAUCCAUCAUCAGUUUUCUUGUUCUUCCCAAGACAUUUCAGUAUAGGUGAGCUCUAUCCAUAUCCAUGGUACCAAGGUAUACUUCCCUUAUGUGUUCUUGAGCACAUUGCUGUGUUAAACCAUGGUGUCGAAACCAUCAGAGGGUUUCAGAUGCUACAUAGACUAUCAUACAAAUUAACGGAACAGCUAAAUGAUUAGAGCUAUCAUACACAUGUAUUGUGACAGAGAAAUCUGACGUCUACAGCUUUGGUGUGGUUAUGCUAGAGGUGGUGCUGGGGAAGUAUAAAAAAGAUCUUCUUUAUCACCUUCCAUUAUCAUCACAGUUUACAAGAGCAGCAUUUGCUGCUUAAGGAAGUCUUCAAGUUCCUGCCGGGGUGGGUUCGGGUUUCGCUUUGCAUCCACGGGUGACCCACAGGCCUCGAAAUCCGGCUCAAUCCUCAAUUCCUCAGGAGUGAGUGGGCACGAGGCCACAGGCGGCCUUAACCUCCUCACGCUCUCCCUCUAUCUCACUUCUCUCUACCAGAGCGCAGCGCCGUCCAGCAGUUUGAAGGAGCGCCGCCAAAUCCGUGAGCCCAGAGCACGGAUUCACCCCCGUCGAGCCGCGGGGAGCCAAGGGGUAGGUUGCACGACGCUCCAUCGACGAAAUCCCGCCGUCUCCCGUCGGAUUUAGCGCGUCGCCGCCGUUCUUCCUCGACUCCAGCGAGUUGCUAUGCCCUUCACCGACGAACCACCAUGGCCAAGCAGCCCAAGCUUCUCCUCCGCUCGGCCUCCCGGCACCACGCCUCCGCUCCGUCUCCCGCAGUCCCGCCUUCGGCGUCUAGGCCGCCAUUCAUCACGGCCACGCUCAGGCCGCCCCUCUCCCAGCACCGACCGCGCCACGGCAGUGGAGGCCGCCGGAUCCCGCGCCCAUGCGACGCGCCGGCGGUGGAGGCCGGUGAAUCCCGCGCCCGUUCGACGCGCCGGCGGAAGAGCGUGCCCGUGCGACGCGCCGACGGAGGAGGCCACCGUUGAUCCCGCGCCCUCGCUCGCCGGUGGAGGAGGCCGACGCGAGGGCCGUGUCGACGGAGAUGGGCUGGAGCAGAGCGCAGUCGGCAAGGAUCGGCAGCCGCGAGUCAUUGUGUUCCGGCCAGCCUUCGUGUUGUGUUCCGGCCGGCCUUCGUGUUGUGACUGUUGAAGUGGAUAUGCUCCGGUCCUGUCGCCGUUGAGA